CCCUGGUAGUCCACGCCGUAAACGAUGUCGAUUUGGAGGUUGUGCCCUUGAGGCGUGGCUUCCGGAGCUAACGCGUUAAAUCGACCGCCUGGGGAGUACGGCCGCAAGGUUAAAACUCAAAUGAAUUGACGGGGGCCCGCACAAGCGGUGGAGCAUGUGGUUUAAUUCGAUGCAACGCGAAGAACCUUACCUGGUCUUGACAUCCACAGAACUUUCCAGAGAUGGAUUGGUGCCUUCGGGAACUGUGAGAC
rnacentral:rRNA from 1 species